CCAUAGGUACAUAUAUAAAUAUGACUUAUUUCCAGGAUGUGACAGGCUUAGCAUCAAUUCUGUUCUUCUUUUCAGUUUUUAUAGACAGAGCUGAUCACAUAAAUAAGCAGAUGGAGGUCAAAGUAGUCUUAUUUUUUUUAAUUUCACUAAAGACUUGGACAUUUUUUCACAUUAUGUGCCAAAAUUAUAUCGUGAUCAUCAAAAAUUCUUUUUAAUGAUCUAACUUGAUUAGAUCUUCCCUCAAUUUUGUUGGAGCCCAGGAAUUAGAACCCACUUAACUUGCAAAAGAUUUUGUUUUCUAAUCUUUAGAGCCAUUCAAUUUCUCAAUUUCUCAAUUUUCCCAGAAAAAGUCUUUUCAUGAUUUAUCAAAUUGCUAUUAAUUAUUCUUGUUAUUUUUAGAGAAUCCUCAUUUUUGUAGCUUAAACAGAUUUUAAAAAAGAACAGCAUAAAAUUGGAAAUUCAGUUCACAGUUUCACUUUAAAAAAUUAGAAAUUGUCCAUGUUUUGUGAACAAAGUAUAAUCAUGGUGAAUUCGACUUUUCUAGGACAACUUAAAAUGUCUUAAAAAGGCAAGACAGAUGAACAGAGUUGUAUCCUUGACAGUUGUUAUGCAGAGAUAAGUUAGUCAUUUACUUAAUGGUUGAAAAGGAGCAUGUUUAUAGUGAUGUGUUUGAUAUGACUAGAGAAGCACAAUCAACAUCUGAAGGGGAGGAAUUGUCUCUAAUUAAAUAAAGUUGCACUGGUAAAGUUCAGGAUAUCAUGUUCUGUAAUAUGUUUGGGGAACAUUUUAUCCUACAUGGGUAGAGGUAGAUGUUCUACUUUUAAGAAUGCAAUUUAAACUACUUUAUGGAAAGUAACAGCAAAAGGCAAUUAUUGGGCCAUUAGGUAAGUGGAGGACUUAUAAAAACUUUAUUAAUGUUGCUGUGGGCAUUAUUUACAGUGGUAUCUAUAGCAUAUCCCUGAUAUAAUAUAAAUCUAAUAACUGCAUGGCAAAACAGAGUAAUUGAGGAGCAAGUGGUUAACUAGUAGCAGUGAGAAGGAGAUGUAUGCUCAAAUAAAAAAUCAACAGGAGUUUAUAGCAUACUCUAUUGGCAAAAGUUAAUGAAAAUGUUUCUCAUACCAGUAUGAAUAAAUGUUCAAGGAAAUACAAACCCCUAACUUAGGUAUCUGUUCCAUUUCCAGAUGUGACGCUAACCUGCUAGAACAUUGGAAAUGAGUGUGGAACUGUUCACUUCCUCCUUCUCAAAGUCAUGUGGAUAUAUCUCUGAAGGGACCAGGGCAUGGUGAAUUCAGAACAUGCCAACACAGGCAAAAUUCUCAGUUUCUAAUGUCUUCCUUCAAACUUAUUAUAAAUAUAUAUGAGAGAAGUAAAGAUAUGAAGCCCUACUGAGAGUUUAUGGUGCCUUGAUUAAAAGAGCCUUCACCAACACCAGUGAUGGUGAGUGAUUUGGGAAGAGGAGCUGGGAAAAAAAUAACUCAUAAAACAUCUCGACUUAAGAUAUACUUCCUGGCAGAUUGAUUUUUGGAAAGAAUACAUAAAGAAAUUGAGAACAUGGAAAUUGAUGCUCUUAAAACUAUCUGUGCUUACAUACCCUUAGGAAAGUCUUUGCCCCGGGGUAUGUAUUCUUCAUUUAAGACUAUUAGCGUACAGAAUAGAAAUGAGAAAAAUAAUGAAAUGAAAUGAAAGCAAAUGAAUGAGUAGAAAGGCUUAGAAGAGAAAUGAUAGUUACGGAAGACAAGCCAAGGGGUUCAAUGUAGGGUCUUCAAAGAAGGCAGCAGAAAUAAUGGACUGAACAAAUAUUUAAAGGUAAAAAAAUCUUUCCUGAAAUAAAAGAGAGGUAUGAAUCUUUAUAUGGAAAGGACACAGCCAGAAAAAAAAAUGAGCCAAUAUGGUCAACUCAGAGAUAUAUCCUCAAAAAAUUACUGAACUUCACAUCAAAGAAUCCUUUGAGAAGAGAGGAGAAAGAAAGAAAGGAAGAAAGAAAGAGAAAGAGAAAGAAAGAAAGAAAAAAGGAAGAAAAAAGAACAGAAGAAAAAGAGAGAGGGAGAGAGAGAGAAAGAAAGAAGGAAAGAAAGCAAUUGAUUUCUUAUAGGAGGUAAUAUAGGGCUUUAACCGACAAGCCUCAGAGUGACUAAAAGACAAUAGAACAUACUUUCUUGAACUAUCAUUCUAAUACUGUACUAAAGCAACCAACAAACCGUUUUGAAUAUAUGAGAACAUAGUGGAGGGAAUAUUAUUUCAUUGAGCUUUUUUGAUGAAUAAGAGCAUGCAUUUUAAUUACCUAGGAGAAGACUGGAAAACUUCAGGAAAAUAAUCUGGUGGUGAGCCCUGAGUCUAUUUAACUGCAGAACUAAAACUAAAACAAAUGUAGGGUUUUUGAUAACAGAAGAGAAUGUAAAUAUAAGCAUAGAUAAACCAAGAGAUUGUGAAAAAGCAUUAAAGUAAUAAAAGUUGGGAGGUGAAGGGAUAAACAGAUGUUACAAGUACAACAAAAUCUUUAAAAUCUGGGAGGUCAAAAGAUAAUAAAGAUGUGAAUAUCUUUUUAUAAUGAUUAAAAACACUUUUUUAUGGAAGUAAAACACAUAUAUAAAAAUACAGAAAUUCUAAGUAUACAUAUUGUUGCAUUUUCACAAAGUGAAAAUACGAAUAUACUCAUAUAUAAAGGACCCAGAUGGAGAACUAGAAC
rnacentral:lncRNA from 10 species